ensembl:snRNA U6 U6 spliceosomal RNA
AUGCUCACUUCGACAGCAUAUAUACUAAAAUUGGAACGAUACAGAGAUGAUUAGCAUGGCCCCUGCACAAGGAUGACAAAUUUGUGAAGCGUUCCAUAUUCUU